UACGUAGGGGGCAAGCGUUUGUCCGGAUUUAUUGGGCGUAAAGCGCGUGUAGGCGGCCAGAUAGGUCUGCUGUGAAAACUCGAGGCUCAACCUCGAGCUGUCGGCGGAAACCAUCUGGCUAGAGUCCGGAAGAGGAGAGUGGAAUUCCUGGUGUAGCGGUGAAAUGCGCAGAUAUCAGGAAGAACACCUAUGGCGAAGGCAGCUCUCUGGGACGGUACUGACGCUGAGACGCGAAAGCGUGGGGAGCGAACAGG
rnacentral:rRNA from 1 species